AUUGAACGCUGGCGGCAGGCUUAACACAUGCGAGUCGAACGGUAACAUAAAGGAGCUUGCUUCUUUGAUGACGAGUGGCGGACGGGUGAGUAAUGCUUGGGAAUCUAGCUUAUGGAGGGGGAUAACUACGGGAAACUGUAGCUAAUACCGCGUAGAAUCGGGAGAUGAAAGUGUGGGACCUUCGGGCCACAUGCCAUAGGAUGAGCCCAAGUGGGAUUAGGUAGUUGGUGAGGUAAAGGCUCACCAAGCCGACGAUCUCUAGCUGGUCUGAGAGGAUGACCAGCCACACUGGGACUGAGACACGGCCCAGACUCCUACGGGAGGCAGCAGUGGGGAAUAUUGCGCAAUGGGGGCAACCCUGACGCAGCCAUGCCGCGUGAAUGAAGAAGGCCUUCGGGUUGUAAAGUUCUUUCGGUAGCGAGGAAGGCAUUUAGUUUAAUAGACUAGGUGAUUGACGUUAACUACAGAAGAAGCACCGGCUAACUCCGUG
rnacentral:rRNA from 1 species